GUCUACGGCCAUGCCACCCUGAAUGCACCCGAUCUCAUCUGAUCUCGGAAGCUAAGCAGGGUCGGGCCUGGUUAGUACUUGGAUGGGAGACCACCUAGGAGGACUGGGUGCUGUCGGUG
rnacentral:rRNA from 1 species